rnacentral:rRNA from 1 species
UAAUUUAUAUGAAUUUUUAUAAAUUAAGAACUCAAAACUUUUGAUUAUAGUUCUAGAUAAAAUAUUGAUAAUGACAAAGUUUUAUCUAUAUGUCUUGACCAAAUCUUGUGCCAGCAGUCGCGGCAACACAAGGAAGACGAGUGUUAUUCAUCUUAAAUCGGUUUAAAGGGUACCUAGACGGUAAAUUAUGCCUUAAUUGGAACGUUUUUACUAGAGUUAUAUAUGCGUGAGGAAUGUGUGAGUAUUACCAGAGUAGAGAUGCAAUUUUUUAAUACUGUUAAGACUGGUAAAGGCGAAAGCAAACCUUUAUAUAUUAACUGACGUUGAGGAACGAAGGCUUGGGUAGCAAACAGGAUUAGAUACCCUAAUAGUCCAGGCAGAGAAUUAUGAAUGCCAUAAAAUACAUUUGAUAUAUUUUAUAAAUGAAAGUGUAAGCAUUCCACCUCAAGAGUAAUGUGGCAACGCAGGAACUGAAAUCAUUAGACCGUUUCUGAUACCAAUAGUGAAGUAUGUUGUUUAAUUUGUUAACCCUCAAACAAUCUUACCACAAUUUGAAUAUAUUUAUUUAUACAAGCGUUGCAUUGUUGUCUUCAGUUAAUGUUGUGAGACUUUGGUUAGAUUCAUAAAAUUAACGUAAUCCCUUAUUUAAGUUUCUUUAACUUGAUUAGUUCACCGCUAUAUUGGAUAUCGAUAAAUGGGAGUAAGACAAGUCGUAA